rnacentral:rRNA from 1 species
UACAGAGGGUGCAAGCGUUGUUCGGAAUUAUUGGGCGUAAAGGGAGUGUAGGCUGUGAGGUAAGUCGGGUGUGAAAUCUCGGAGCUUAACUCCGAAACUGCAUUCGAUACUGCCGUGCUUGAGGACUGGAGAGGAGACUGGAAUUUACGGUGUAGCGGUGAAAUGCGUAGAUAUCGUAAGGAAGACCAGUGGCGAAGGCGGGUCUCUGGACAGUUCCUGACGCUGAGGCACGAAGGCCAGGGGAGCAAACGGG